GAAGGUAAAGGCUUCCCCAAGGGCGACGAUGGGUAGCCGACUUGAGAGGGUGAUCGGCCCCACUUGGGAUUGAGACACGGCCCCAGAUUCCUACGGGAGGCAGCAGUAGGGAAUCAUCCGCAAUGGGCGAAAGCCUGACGGUGCAACGCCGCGUGAGUGAUGAAGGUUUUCGGAUCGUAAAGCUCUGUUGACAGGGAAGAACCCACGCCAGUCGAACAGGCUGGCGUGCUGACGGUACCUGUCCAGAAAGCCCCGGCUAACUACGUGCCAGCAGCCGCGGUAAUACGUAGGGGGCAAGCGUUGUCCGGAAUUAUUGGGCGUAAAGGGCACGCAGGCGGUUUCGUCAGUCCGAUGUGACAGGCCACGGCUCAACCGUGGAAGGCCAUUGGAAACUGCGAGACUUGAGGACAGAAGAGGAGAGUGGAAUUCCACGUGUAGCGGUGAAAUGCGUAGAUAUGUGGAGGAACACCAGUGGCGAAGGCGACUCUCUGGUCUGUACCUGACGCUGAGGUGCGAAAGCAUGGGGAGCAAACAGGAUUAGAUACCCUGGUAGUCCAUGCCGUAAACGCUGAGUGCUAGGUGUUAGGGGUUUCGAUACCCGUAGUGCCGAAGCUAACGCAUUAAGCACUCCGCCUGGGGAGUACGACCGCAAGGUUGAAACUCAAAGGAAUUGACGGGGGCCUGCACAAGCGGUGGAGCAUGUGGUUUAAUUCGACGCAACGCGAAGAACCUUACCAGAUCUUGACAUCUUUCGCUACGCCUCGAGAGAGGCGGUUCCCCUUCGGGGGACGAAAUGACAGGUGGUGCAUGGUUGUCGUCAGCUCGUGUCGUGAGAUGUUGGGUUAAGUCCCGCAACGAGCGCAACCCCUAAUCUUAGUUGCCAGCAUUCAGUUGGGCACUCUAAGGUGACUGCCGGUGACAAACCGGAGGAAGGUGGGGAUGACGUCAAAUCAUCAUGCCCCUUAUGAUCUGGGCUACACACGUGCUACAAUGGAUGGUACAACGGGACGCGAACCCGCGAGGGGGAGCCAAUCCAGAAAAGCCAUUCUCAGUUCGGAUUGCAGGCUGCAACUCGCCUGCAUGAAGCCGGAAUCGCUAGUAAUCGCGGAUCAGAAUGCCGCGGUGAAUACGUUCCCAGGCCUUGUACACACCGCCCGUCACACCACGAGAGUUUGCAACACCCGAAGUCGGUGAGGGAACCCUUCUGGGACCCAGCCGCCGAAA
rnacentral:rRNA from 1 species